AUGUGUGUCCCAAAGAUGAAGGGAGGAAUGGGAUUUUGUGAUUUACAUUGCUUUAACCUUGCACUUCUAGCGAAACGGGCAUGGAGGCCCAUUGUUAAUCCUGAUUCACUUUGUGCAAGGGUCUUGAGAGCUAAAUAUUUUCCGGACGGAGAUCUUCUUAAUGAUACUCUAAAGAAAAGAUCUUCUUAUACUUGGCAAAGCAUCAUGGCAGGAGUCAACACUAUAAAACUUGGGUAUAUUUGGAGAGUGGAUGAUGGUCAGAACAUAAAUAUUUGGAGUGAUCUGUGGAUCCCACAAUUACCGGACAGAAUGGUGAUUACUAGAAGAGGAGGUCAGUUACUAUCGAAAGUUGCUGAUCUUAUAAAUCCCCCUAAUGGUGAAUGGGACGAAUCACUUGUAAACCAAACAUUUUGGCCCAUUGAUGCAAGAAGGAUUCUUGCAAUUCCACUCCCAGCUCAUGACGUGACUGAUUUUAUUCCAUGGAAUUUGACAAAAAUGGGUAUCUUUUCGGUGAGAUCAGCGUACCACAUAGAAUGGAACCGUCAAUUUGGUAGUAGAAUGAAAGUAAGUAAUGGUAUGGGUGCAACUGUUGACAAUCCUAUCUGGAAGACUCUUUGGACCCCGAGAUGUCCAUCUAAGAUAAAAAUUAAAGUAUGGAGGACUCUGCAUGGAGCAUUGCCAUGCCAACACUAG
rnacentral:rRNA from 1 species